GAGAGAAUCCUAAGGUGAGCGAGAGAACUCUCGUUAAGGAACUCGGCAAAAUGACCCCGUAACUUCGGGAGAAGGGGUGCUCUAUUAGGGUGCAAGCCCGAGAGAGCCGCAGUGAAUAGGCCCAGGCGACUGUUUAGCAAAAACACAGGUCUCUGCAAAACCGUAAGGUGACGUAUAGGGGCUGACGCCUGCCCGGUGCUGGAAGGUUAAGAGGAGUGCUUAGCUUCGGCGAAGGUACGAAUUGAAGCCCCAGUAAACGGCGGCCGUAACUAUAACGGUCCUAAGGUAGCGAAAUUCCUUGUCGGGUAAGUUCCGACCCGCACGAAAGGCGCAACGAUCUGGGCACUGUCUCAACGAGAGACUCGGUGAAAUUAUAGUACCUGUGAAGAUGCAGGUUACCCGCGACAGGACGGAAAGACCCCGUGGAGCUUUACUGCAACCUGAUAUGGAAUGUUUGUACCGCUUGUACAGGAUAGGUAGGAGCCGAAGAGACGUGUGCGCUAGCAUACGAGGAGGCAAUGGUGGGAUACUACCCUGGCUGUAUGACCAUUCUAACCCGCCACGCUUAGCGCGUGGGGAGACAGUGUCAGGUGGGCAGUUUGACUGGGGCGGUCGCCUCCUAAAGAGUAACGGAGGCGCCCAAAGGUUCCCUCAGAAUGGAUGGAAAUCAUUCGCAGAGUGUA
rnacentral:rRNA from 1 species